CCUACGGGAGGCAGCAGUGAGGAAUAUUGGUCAAUGGACGCAAGUCUGAACCAGCCAUGCCGCGUGCAGGAAGACGGCUCUAUGAGUUGUAAACUGCUUUUGUACGAGGGUAAACGCAGAUACGCGUAUCUGUCUGAAAGUAUCGUACGAAUAAGGAUCGGCUAACUCCGUGCCAGCAGCCGCGGUAAUACGGAGGAUUCAAGCGUUAUCCGGAUUUAUUUGGUUUAAAGGGUGCGUAGGCGGUCGGAUAAGUUAGAGGUGAAAUCCCGAGGCUCAACGUCGGAAUUGCCGCUGAUACUGGUCGGCUAGAGAGUAGUUGCGGUAGGCGGAAUGUAUGGUGUAGCGGUGAAAUGCUUAGAGAUCAUACAGAACACCGAUUGCGAAGGCAGCUUACCAGGCUACUUCUGACGUUGAGGCACGAAAGCGUGGGGAGCAAACAGGAUUAGAUACCCUUGUAGUC
rnacentral:rRNA from 1 species